rnacentral:rRNA from 1 species
GCCGCGACCCGUUGCUGGGGACGUCGAAGGCCCGGGCGGACUGGUACCCCGACGCCGUGCGAUUUUAUCGCCGACGAAGGGGGAAACCUCCGGUGUCCUGGCUGCCCUGCGACGGUCGUGCAGAUGAGGGGCGAAUAGCCGUCACUCUCGCGGCGUGCAAAAGGUCGGUGACCCACCCGACCCGUCUUGAAACACGGACCAAGGAGUCUAACAUGUGUGCGAGUCAUUGGGCUAACUAAACCCACAGGCGUAAUGAAAGUGAAAGGUGGGCGUCCCGGGGUCUCCUCACGGGGAGGCUCGGGUCGGCGCUCACCGGGGCCGAUCCUCGACAUGCCGUCGCUUCGCCGGCGUUUCUUCCCACACCAAAGCGGGGCCGCCAAGACGGGGCUGCUGACGCGGGGUGAGACCCUUUCCCCCGUCGUCCAGCCUCCGGUCCCGUGGGUACCCGGCGAGCGCGACAGUCCGGUCGGUCGGUGGUUGGCGAACCCUCUCGAGGGGGAGGCUUCUGCCGCAUCGGCCGCCUGUACGCAGGGGGGCGCAGGCCCGGGACUUGCCAUUUGACGCCGUCGCGCAAAUCUGUUGUUGGCCUCGCCGGCUCUGCUUGGGCUCUCGGUUGGCGGGCCGCGCGCCAGGCGGGCUUGAGGGCGGGGGCAUACACUGCCGCCGUCCGGGUCCGUCCCGCGCGGUUUUUGCCUUCCG